ensembl:lincRNA Gm10804 predicted gene 10804
CUCUCUUUUCCAAACACAACAAACUCACCGCCACACACUGCCCUUCCUGUGACCUUGAAUCCAGAGACCACCAGGCCCAAAAGCCACCUGGAGGAUUUCACUACUGUCUCUGUGGUGGUCAGAAGGGCUGAGAGCAGAACGCAGGAGCCAGAAGACAAUGUCAGAACCCCUUGGAACUGGAGUUACAGACAGGUAGGGAAUCCACAACAGACCAAAGCAUGGAUACGCCCCAAGUCCAACGUGGUGAACCGAUGAAUCUCCAAAGCACAACCCAGACACAGGUGACAUCUCUGGGAACCUGAGCACAAGACACAGCUUCAGCGAGCUCAGCAGGUUGUUUCAGAAGUUUAGUCCAUUAUCAAAAUGGCACUGAGUAUGAAGACACACAGGCAGACAGGAUGCUGGAGAAGGAGCCGAGAGUUCUGUAUCUGGAUCCGUGGACAGCAGGAGAGACACUGGGACUGGCUUGGAUUUUUGAAACAUCAAAGGAUGCCUGCUUCCCACGUGUGGGGACAGAGGUGCAGAAAAGCAUUUCCCUGAUAUCAAGAUAACAACAUGACCAACUCUGUAGCACCUCACAGAUGAUUUCUACCAGCCUUAGCUACGGAAACCGCACCCCAAGAAGAGCUUUGAAUUAGCCAUAUCCAGAGACCUGAUUCUGCGCACCCAGCACAGAACAAACACCCUUCCCCCAGAGGUCCACUCUAGAUGAGAGAGCUUCCCCAGGGGGUGCUAGCCGCACUUAACUGUCAUAAAGGAUGCUGGCCCCAGAGCUCAGAGCACACCUCCAUUGCACCUCGGUGCCUGCCCCAUGUCUGAGCCCAUGAGUUCUCAUCAGUAUCGCCUCCAGUCUUUUGGGCCUGCUUGGGACCUUUACUUUCUUGGGCUGUGGAACCAUAAUGUACUGACCUCGAAACCAGUCCUGGCUGGGUUACAGCCAGGACAACAAACUUGUUUCCACUGGAGAGCCUGGGUGCAUUCUAGUAGCAGUGAUUUAACCAAAGACCACCCAGACCUGAUUUUACUCACUGCCCCUUGCUACGUCUGAAGGUCUGGGGAAAGCACCCACCUUGGCCUGAGGUGUGUGGCUAUUAGCCUUUCCAGGAAAGUGACGGUGGCAACCGUGGUUAUAAACGUGACCAGUUAACAGAACCUAGCAGCCCUGCCUUCUGUCUGUGCCAGGGUGGAAGCCAGUGGCCCGAGCCGACCAGAAGAUCGCCUGAGCCGAGCAGAUGAGCCAGAGCCAAUCAGAGGAGCACCUGACUCCCAGCUUUAUAUUACCAUUUUUUCCUUUUAAUUUCUUCUUCUCACAUAUAUUACAUCCUGACCACAGUUUCCCCUUCGUCCCCUCCCCCUAGUCUCUUCUCCUUUCACCUUUGCUCAGAAAAGAGCACACCACUCCAGAGCAUCAACCAGACAUGCACAACAAGCUACAGUAAGUAAGACAGGCACAUAUUCUCACAUCGAGGCUGGGCAAGGCCACCCAGUAGGAGGAAAUGAGCCCCAAAGGCAGGCAGAAGAGCCAGAGAGAGCCCCUGUUCCCACUCUUAGGACAAGACCUAGCUCAGACCCCUGCAGGUUCCCUGAUCUCUUUGAGCCCUGUGAGUCCUGGUCAGUUGAUUCUGUGGGCCCUUUUGUGUGAUGUCCUUGAUCCCUGCGGCUACUCCAGCCCUUCUUCCCCCUCUUCUGCAGGACCCCCGAGCUCCGCCUAGCGUUUGGCUGUGGGACAGUGCACCUGUUCCCAUCAGUUGCUUCAUGAAGUCUCCCUGGUCUCUCUGGGGACGAUGAUGCCAGAUUUAAUAACGGGAUGCUACACUCUACAUUUCAUGAAGCAUAUUCAUUAUUUGGUGAUCUCUGCACCUGGGUCACUAGUCCAUCAAUGUCUUCAUUCACAGUUUCCUGUCAAAACUGCUUUUUUUUUUUCCUUCGCAGGCAUCAGCUGGACCCCAAGGUGGGGUCUAGGCACUCCAAACCUUCAUGAACCUACACCUUAGUAGCUGUGAGUUUAUUUAUUCUUUUUGUUUGCUUAUUUGUUUGUCUUGAAACCGGCUCUCUCUAUUGUGUCUCUCCGGCUGUCCUGGAACUCACUAUGUUAAGCAGACUGGCCUCACAGAAAUCCACCUACGUCUAGCUUCUAAAUGUUAUUCUAUUUCUUUUAAAACGUAUUUAUCCAUUUAUUUAUUUUGAGACAGACCUCACUACAUGGACAGAGUGCUGGGAUUAAAGAUGUGUGUCACCAUGCCUG